AUGAAGGAGGCAAUGGUUCAGGCAGAGGAAGCAGCUGCUGAGAUUACUAGGAAGCUCGAGAAACGAGAAGAAGGAAAAGAAAAGGCUGGCUGCGAUUGCCCUAGCUUCUUCAGAAAAUAGCAGUGCCCAGGAGGAGUGUGAGGAGACAAGUGAAAGACCCAAAAAGAAGAAAAAGCAAAAGCCCCAGGAGGUUCUUCAGGAGAAUGGAAUGGAAGACCCUUCUGUCUCUUUUUCCAAACCCAAGAAAAAGAAAUCUUUUUCCAAGGAAGAGCUAGUUAGUAGUGAUCUUGAAGAGACAGCUGGUACUGGAAGUCUUCCCAAGAGGAAGAAAUCUUUUCCCAAAGAGGAACCAGUUACUGACCCUGAUGAGUCAGAAAACAAGAGGGUCCCCAAGAAAAAGCGGAAAUUGUCUUCCAAGGAGGAGCCACUCAGCAGUGGACCUGAAGAGGCUGCUGCUGGCAAGAGCAGCAGCUCCAUGAAAAAGAAAAAGCUCCGAAAGCUAUCCCAAGAAAGUUAG
rnacentral:lncRNA from 1 species